CACAAAAGCAGAAGAAGGGAGUUAGCAAUAGCAAGCAGCAGUAGCCAACAUGGCUCACCUGCUGAACACAUUGUGCUGUGUCCUGGUUGGAAAAUGGGUCAUUUCAAGCCCAGUUUAAAGUAAGGAGUUGAUUUUUUUUGCAGAGAUGUUUAAUGUAUGUA